CAGAAGCGCGCGCUGAACGAGAACCGACGCGAGCGGCUGCGGAGAUGGAUUAUUCUCCUCCCACCGCACGCGCUCCGAAAGACAACCACGCGCGUAAGAGGAGUGGAAGGGAGCGAGUUGCGUCGUCUGCUCGCGCCCAAAUAUUUCCACGGGCGGCGGGAGCGGCGUGGUAGCAGCCCCACGCUGUGGUCGCUGGAGUGUGCUCCGGAUCCGGGCGGGUUUACGUCCACAUCCACACAAACAAUACACAGGACAUGACCUCAGUGUCCAAGCAGCUCCAGCCCUUCGUUCACGACAAUAAUAAUGGAAAAAGUGGCAGCAGAAAACAGCCCCAGGCAUCUGCCUGCCCGGAAACCAUCUCAUGUUUACUCCAGGUGAUGAUGCAAUAGCAGCAAGAAACAGCAGAUGGCGAUAUCACACAGAGGACAUACCCCUUACACAUGAACAGGCAGUUUCUUCUGUUAUUAGAUUUUCAGUUGCCCUUUAAACCUUAUUUAAAAUGAUUUCUUGUUAUUCCUGAUUUCAGUUUGAAGCACAGUCUAGAUCAACCAGCCUUUCUUGUUCAUCUGACGCAAACAGGAACAGCCGCACGCGUUUUAACAGUGACGUCACGGUGCUGUACUUGCCAAAACAGCAGGGGGCGCCCUGUGACAGGACACAAGCUGGAGACUGGGGGGAGGACAGGGACAUACAGUUGUUUCUGUUUAAAAACUCUCAGCGGGAGCUAAGGUGAUGUAGACAUAACCAAUUGACAUAGUUUCAAAACAUUAAACAAUAUUGCGAUGCAUUUAAAGUUGUUUUGUUUUUUCAACUUGAUGAAGAUUCCUGCAUCGUAGAGUCUUCUAACAGUCCCUUUCUGAUUGAGAUUCUUCUUUUUACUGAACACUAGAUUUGAGCAGUCAUGUUUCACCACCCUGUAGAGAAGCAUAAUUGCAACGAUCCCUGAUUAGAGCUGAGGUGGGUUUUAAGCAGUCGCUGGGUGCUGUGUUUAAUCAAGUCUGUCUUCUCAUUAGACAGAUGAAGUCAAAACAUCUCGUCACCCUGGCCUCGCUCUCUGUCACCUUCCCGUCACAUAAACACACUUCAUUUUCUCACUUUCUCACACUGUCCAGACGUGUAACUGUUAUAUGUUUAGCAUUUUAAUGAACUGUACCUUUAAUAUUGUAAAUAAUAAAAAUAGAAAACAGAUCUUCCGUUUUAGUUCAUGAUGAUCAAUAUUAUUAUUAUUGAAGCCCAUCUGCUUUUAAUGUGUCACUCUCUGGUCCUGGUAAUCAAAUUCUAGCAUAAAGGGAUUAUUCGUUCAGACUAAUGCAGCAUUCGCCUUUCUUUAUCAAAGGUGAAUCUAAGGCUUUGAAGAAUGAUUCAUAUUUACAUAAAUUGCUCAAUAUGGCUUUUGUGUUUAAUCUUCAUACAGAAUGACCCAUUAUUUGCUUGCUUUUACUAUCUGUUUCCC